UGCCAAGGGAAUGCCAAAUAUAUUGGAAA
rnacentral:piRNA from 1 species